GGGUUUGUAGCCUAGUGGUUAGAGCGCCGAACUCACGACUUGAAAGCCGGGGUUCGAUUCCCGAUCCCA
rnacentral:tRNA from 1 species